GCCCCAUUGAGGUCCUAGGAUUUGCACACC
rnacentral:piRNA from 1 species